CAGCACCCAACGGAGUCUAACAACUGCCCUGACAGCCAGAUGCCCGAGGCACAAGUGCCCCAGAAAGCGAGGGAAUAAAGAGAAUAUCUUCCCUCUUUGAGAAGCAAAGCAUUUUCAACAGUAGAAGGUUUGGAGUUGAGGAGUCCUGGGCCAUGAAGUCAACUGACAUGGAAGCCCGUGAUGAGCCGACCGGCAACAGCCUCGUAGGACAGCGGGUUUGAGAAACACUGGAGCAGGUCAGACCAGUGGGAAUUUGGUGAAUAGCUGAGUAACGAGAAGCAAGGAUGGAGCCAAAACUCAGAGGAGUAAACACCGUCAGAUGACUGGGUGAGGUCAUCCUGUGGUGAGAUUCUGAUGCCCUCCGUGGAUAUGUUUUGUUCUCAUGCUACCAGAUUUCUCUUGAUUCUCUACUCUCCAUCCUUCCAGUGCACAGGAGAUGUUGAUGGAUGAUAAUUAUGUGUCAUCACUUUGCCUCCUGAGUGACAACUGAGUAUACGAGCAGGUGGGAAUCCAGUGCUGCUCUCAACCUGGCUGAAAGGACUGCUGAGCCCCAGAUAACCCCCUUAGACCCUGGAGCUCAAGACCGGUGCUUCUUCAACUCGUGUUUUGGACUCUUUGGCGGUGUGGUGAAGCCCUUGGACCCCAUUUCAGACCCUCCAGAACUAUAGGAUCAUAUAGGUGAUCAACUAUAAUCAAACACAGUUCAGAGUCAAUAUUCUCAUUAUGUAAAAUCCUCCAUGACAUGUAACCUCAGUGUCCAUUUCAUUAGAAUCCACCACAAUCCAAACAUCAUGCUUAGGUUUAUGAUACACCGAGCUCAUAAUCAGUACUAUUUAAAUCAUGAAUAAUGGCUGGCAACCAACCCC